UCCAGGAUAUUUAUUGCGUUCAGAAGACACGAUUGUUCCGUGGCGCUACAUAACGUUGGUUAGACUGGUUUUGACGCUAAAGGUUAUAUGAAAUGUUAUAGGGUGAGGACCAGUCAACUCGUUUGCGAGUGCUCGCGAAAAAGCAAUUAUCAUUUAUAGUACUUCAAAAAGGUGUUUCCGUGAAAGCCAUUCAGUCGUUCGUCGUGAAUUGUAUCAAGAUAGUCUUAUUCUUCCAGUCAUGCUCUCUCAACUCAUUGGAAUUUAAUUUCAUUGGACAAUUUGAAUGAUUUCUGAGAAGACGACCAAUAGGCAUGAAGCUUAAAUGGAAAGUGCAGUUGGUGGCAGCACUGGGUUUCGUGUUUUUCUUACUCAUUGUGGUUGUGUAUUUGAUUGCCACUCAGGCACCACGUCGGAACUUCACCUUUGAAGUCGACAUAGACGUUGAUGACGACACCUAAUGUAAAAUGUUGCAAGUAGUUUUACAUUCGUCGAUUUUAUCGUUGGUUUGUGACACAUCGUGUAUUAUCCUUUAGUGAAGGAUAUUAGUCUGAUAAUAAAGAAAGAAAUGUUUUAUUUAA